rnacentral:rRNA from 1 species
UACGGAGGGUGCAAGCGUUAAUCGGAAUUACUGGGCGUAAAGCGCACGUAGGCGGACUCUUAAGUCAGGGGUGAAAUCCUGGAGCUCAACUCCAGAACUGCCUUUGAUACUGGGAGUCUCGAGUUCGGGAGAGGUGAGUGGAACUGCGAGUGUAGAGGUGAAAUUCGUAGAUAUUCGCAAGAACACCAGUGGCGAAGGCGGCUCACUGGCCCGAUACUGACGCUGAGGUGCGAAAGCGUGGGGAGCAAACAGG